CAAACAGAGGGAGCAUUUUUGAGCCACAAAAAUACUUGAUAUUAAAAAAAGUUCUUGGGCUAAGUCCUAUUACAGCCCAUCUGCAGAUGAUCACUCUGAAUACAGUGGAAAAGAUGCCAUUCCACUCCACAAGGAGCAGACUUCAGGACUAAUUUCCUGGAUUCUGCACCUCCCCAUGACCACAAUAAUAGAAAGAGUAAAGAUAGAAGACAGUCGUGACAGAGGAAAGACUUCAAACUUUAACCUGAAUAGCAACUUUAUAUUCGCUGGCACCAUGGAAACUGCCUGAAAGCUGCAAGUCCCAGAUAUAAAUUACUACCUGUGACCACAUAGCAUCCACAGGAAAUGCUGUCAGACUGAAAUAGGAGGAGAGAAGAGGACAGGAGCAUGGACUGAGCAUUGAAAUGAUCCAAAAAUAAUCCCCACAACCAAGAAGUUAUUCAAUAUUUCAUAUUUUGACUGAUUAAAGUUCUGCGAGUCCCAAUGCAGCCUUUUCAGUGGGCUGGGUUUUGUUUGUUUUUCUUUCCUUCCCCAUCAGAGCUCUGUUUGUCAGAUUCAACUGUUUUUUCCAGGUGGGCUUCCUAAUAAUUUCCUUAAACUUAACCUGCGUGUAUCUUUGUUUGUUUCUUUCUCUUACAUGUACAUAUGCAGAAGGGGGAAAAUACAAUAUUCUUACAUUUGCUUUUGAUAGAGAGAAAAACAACACUGUGGACUCAAAGUUGGGAAUGUUUUUAAAUAAAAUACCCCAUACAUUUAGCUAUUCAACAAGAACUGGGCCUGAUUCUCCUCUGACAUUGAUUUUACACUGGUAUAACUCCAUUGAUUUUAAUGGAGUUAUCUGGAUUUACAACACUCUGAGAAAAGAAUCCAGCCUAUUGGAUUUGGAAAGGAUUACAUGACUAAACCACCAGGCACUGCUUUUAAAACGUACUCCUGUGUUUACAGAAAUAAAAGGGGCAGUCCACUAAAUGUAAACUAAAUCGGUCUUUUGCAUGUCAUGGCCUAAAUUACGUAGGAUGCAAUGUAACCCAAUGUGCUAUAUUGAAAUUUAUAUAAACGUACCCCCAUAACAAUUAUUACUUCAAAUGCUGACAGUUUCUUCUUGCAAAUUUAUUAAUAACAUAUUUGAUUAAAAUAUUGGCCCAGAAUAUUACUGAAGUUAAUUAGCAGCUGAGGCCUCUCUAAGAAGUAGGUCAAAUUUUGAGAUAAUUGAAUAUGCAGGUAUUUCAUCCUUAUUAUCACCUUGUAAAGAAGUUAAGUUUUCUUAAUAUAGAAAGUAAGCUUUAGGACAAUGUGUGUGUGUCACAAGAUGAGAAAACAUUGUUCAUUACUCUUUAAAUAGCCACAUUUCUUUCAAAUGGUUGUUUGUUAAAA